rnacentral:rRNA from 1 species
CCUACGGGAGGCAGCAGUGAGGAAUAUUGGUCAAUGGUCGGGAGACUGAACCAGCCAAGCCGCGUGAGGGAUGAAGGUACAGAGUAUCGUAAACCUCUUUUGUCAGGGAACAAAGGCGGGGACGUGUCCCCGGAUGAGUGUACCUGAAGAAAAAGCAUCGGCUAACUCCGUGCCAGCAGCCGCGGUAAUACGGAGGAUGCGAGCGUUAUCGGGUUUUGUGGGGUUUAAAGGGUGCGCAGGCGGUCUGUUAAGUCAGCGGGCAAAGCCCGGGGCUCAACCCCGGCCCGCAGUUGAAACUGGCAGUCUCGAGUGGGAGAGAGGUAGGCGGAAUGCGCGGUGUAGCGGUGAAAUGCAUAGAUAUCGCGCAGAACUCCGAUUGCGAAGGCAGCAUGCCGGCUCCACACUGACGCUGAGGCACGAAAGCGUGGGUAUCGAACAGGAUUAGAUACCCGAGUAGUC